rnacentral:rRNA from 1 species
AACGAACGCUGGCGGCAUGCCUAACACAUGCAAGUCGAACGAGACCUUCGGGUCUAGUGGCGCACGGGUGCGUAACGCGUGGGAACCUGCCCUUAGGUUCGGAAUAACUCCCCGAAAGGGGUGCUAAUACCGGAUAAUGUCUUCGGACCAAAGAUUUAUCGCCUUUGGAUGGGCCCGCGUUGGAUUAGCUAGUUGGUAGGGUAAAAGCCUACCAAGGCGACGAUCCAUAGCUGGUCUGAGAGGAUGAUCAGCCACACUGGGACUGAGACACGGCCCAGACUCCUACGGGAAGCAGCAGUGGGGAAUAUUGGACAAUGGGCGAAAGCCUGAUCCAGCAAUGCCGCGUGAGUGAUGAAGGCCUUAGGGUUGUAAAGCUCUUUUACCCGGGAUGACAAUGACAGUACCGGGAGAAUAAGCUCCGGCUAACUCCGUG